UGGAUAGCUCAGGUUGUUAGAGCAUGGUGCUGAUAAUGCCAAGGUUGCAGGUUUGAUCCCCUUCUGGGACAA